GACGAACGCUGGCGGCGUGCUUAACACAUGCAAGUCGAACGGAAAGGCCCUGCUUUUGUGGGGUGCUCGAGUGGCGAACGGGUGAGUAACACGUGAGUAACCUUCCCUUUACUUUGGGAUAACUUCAGGAAACUGGGGCUAAUACCGGAUAGGAGCUCCUGCUGCAUGGUGGGGGUUGGAAAGUUUCGGCGGUUGGGGAUGGACUCGCGGCUUAUCAGCUUGUUGGUGGGGUAGUGGCUUACCAAGGCUUUGACGGGUAGCCGGCCUGAGAGGGUGACCGGCGACAAUGGGACUGAGAUACGGCCCAGAAGCCAACGGGAGGCAGCAGGGGGGAAUAUUGCAAAAUGGGCGGAAGCCUGAUGCAGAAACGCAGCGUGCGGGAUGACGGCCUUCGGGUUGAAAACAGAUUUAGAAUGUGACGAAGAGUGAGUGACGGUAAUGGGUAAAGAAGCACCGGCUAACUACGUG
rnacentral:rRNA from 1 species